rnacentral:tRNA from 1 species
AAGAGUUUAGGUUAGCAUCAUAGACCAAGGGCCUUCAAAGCCCUAAGCGGGAGUGAGAAUCUUCCAACUCUUA